rnacentral:lncRNA from 1 species
UCCUGCCCCUAGCUCCUGUUUACUCAUCCAGGUCUUGCUGUACCAUGUGACCAUCCUAGUUUAGGUUGUCCCAGGAGCAGACCUGAGGCCAGGAUCUGAAUGUAAGGAGUUUAUUUGGGAGGAGAAUCCAGGAAGUACCUAUAGAGAAGUAUAGAAGCAAGCCCAGGAAAGGAAGGAAGCCCAUAAAGAGGGCAUUAGCAAGCCACCACUGUGGGCAAGUGGAGCUGAGUCCCUCUGGAAUAUGGGGUACCAGUGCACAGCACAUCUUGGAGUUAUCCUUCCAUCACUCAUUGGUUAAGGGCAACUCCCCCCGCCCCAGAGUAUUUGGUUUUGGAAUUUCUGGCCUGCCAUGAGCAGGCGGGAGACCUCUGGCUUCCAGAGGAAACUCCCAAGCAAAAGAAUGCAAAUGGCAACAGUGGGUGGCCUGCAGGUUCCCUGCAAUGGCCAGGUGCGAGGGACAUAGGUUGAAAAUGGCAGUGGCUGCUACUGGCUCUGUCCAAGGGAAGCGGGGAGACUCCAUCCCGCAUACCCACCUCUCAUAAGCCUGUCUCACUGGCUCCCUCAAGUCUCUUUUUUCUAUUGACAGACGCAGACCUUGCCUAAACCCAGCAGAGGCUCGCUGAGAAGUUCUCUCUCCUAGCCUCGCUGAGGACAGGCAAUUAAUUAUUCACCAAUAGCUUAGUCCCACUGAUAACUGUCUCCCUGGCAACCUAAGGUCCAGUGUAACAAAAUGAAAUACAUUAAAAAAUAUAUAUAUAUAUAUAUAUGUAUGUAUGUAUGAAAAAUAUGUAAAGAUUAUUUUUACUUUUUCAUAAAAAUGCCUUUAAAUUAAAUAUGGUUUUUGAACAGUGAUUAAAUGUAACUGGUUUUCCAGCCCUGUAUCAAAAUCCCUAUCAAAUCAGUCCCUCGCAGCUCUAGAUCAUCUCAGCGAUGUGUGUUUCUAGGAGACAGGCACUGAUGCUUCCUCCCAGCUGAGGUGUCUGCUUCUUUUUAUAGCAAAUGAUGCACUGCCACGUGAUGGCCCCCAAAGAGCACUGCAUUGCCAGUUACAAGCCUUGCCUGCCUGGCCAGGGCAAGAGGCCCUUCACAUGUGUUUUGUGUGUGUUUUUUCAAUUAGGAAACUUAAUUUUUUUUUGAACAGUUUUAAAUUUACAGAACAACUGAGUGGAAAGUACAGGGAGUUCCCAUAUAUGCUCUCACGCCUACCCACACAUAUGCACACACAGCCAUUUUCCCUAUUACUAACAUCUUGCACUUUGAGGUUAAGAAACUUGCACAAAAUCACAGAACUUAUAAAUGAGGCAGUGUUAGUAUUCAUAAUUGAAACAUGAUUGGAUUUUUUUCUCCCUCUUCUCCU